rnacentral:rRNA from 1 species
AAACCAACAGGGAUUGCCUCAGUAGCGGCGAGUGAAGCGGCAAGAGCUCAGAUUUGAAAUCUCACCUAGUGUGCGAGUUGUAAAUUGCAGGUUGGAGUCUCGGGUUAGACGUGUGUACAAGUCCCUUGGAACAGGGUGCCACUGAGGGUGAGAGCCCCGUAGCGUGCAUGUCGACACCUGUGAGGCCCUUCUGACGAGUCGAGUUGUUUGGGAAUGCAGCUCUAAGUGGGUGGUAAAUUCCAUCUAAGGCUAAAUAUUGGCGAGAGACCGAUAGCGAACAAGUACUGUGAAGGAAAGAUGAAAAGCACUUUGAAAAGAGAGUGAAACAGCACGUGAAAUUGCUGAAAGGGAAGGGUAUUGGGCUCGACAUGGGAUUUACGCAUCGUUGCCUCUCGUGGGCGGCGCUCUGGGUUUUUCCUGGGCCAGCAUCGGUUUUCGUUGCAGGAUAAGGACAAUUGGAAUGUGGCUCCUCGGAGUGUUAUAGCCUUUUGUAGAUGCUGCGUAUGGGGACCGAGGGCUGCGGCGGACUCGUUUCGUCUCGGAUGCUGGCACAACGGCGCAAUACCGC